rnacentral:rRNA from 1 species
GACGAACGCUGGCGGCGUGCCUAAUACAUGCAAGUAGAACGCACAGUUUAUACCGUAGCUUGCUACACCAUACACUGUGAGUUGCGAACGGGUGAGUAACGCGUAGGUAACCUGCCUGGUAGCGGGGGAUAACUAUUGGAAACGAUAGCUAAUACCGCAUAAUAUUGAUUAUUGCAUGAUAAUUGAUUGAAAGAUGCUAUUGCAUCACUACCAGAUGGACCUGCGUUGUAUUAGCUAGUAGGUGAGGUAACGGCUCGCCUAGGCGACGAUACAUAGCCGACCUGAGAGGGUGAUCGGCCACACUGGGACUGAGACACGGCCCAGACUCCUACGGGAGGCAGCAGUAGGGAAUCUUCGGCAAUGGACGAAAGUCUGACCGAGCAACGCCGCGUGAGUGAAGAAGGUUUUCGGAUCGUAAAGCUCUGUUGUAAGAGAAGAACGGGUGUGAGAGUGGAAAGUUCACACUGUGACGGUAUCUUACCAGAAAGGGACGGCUAACUACGUG